AUUGAACGCUGGCGGCAUGCCUUACACAUGCAAGUCGAACGGUAACGGGUCCUUCGGGAUGCCGACGAGUGGCGAACGGGUGAGUAAUAUAUCGGAACGCGCCCAGUAGUGGGGGAUAACUGCUCGAAAGAGCAGCUAAUACCGCAUACGACCUGAGGGUGAAAGGGGGGGAUCGCAAGACCUCUCGCUAUUGGAGCGGCCGAUAUCAGAUUAGCUAGUUGGUGGGGUAAAGGCCUACCAAGGCAACGAUCUGUAGUUGGUCUGAGAGGACGACCAGCCGCACUGGGACUGAGACACGGCCCAGACUCCUACGGGAGGCAGCAGUGGGGAAUUUUGGACAAUGGGCGCAAGCCUGAUCCAGCAAUGCCGCGUGCAGGAAGAAGGCCUUCGGGUUGUAAACUGCUUUUGUCAGGGAAGAAAUCUUCUGGGCUAAUACCCCGGGAGGAUGACGGUACCUGAAGAAUAAGCACCGGCUAACUACGUGCCAGCCGCCGCGUAA
rnacentral:rRNA from 1 species